ensembl:lncRNA
AAUCUUUUCUUCACCUUCCUGUACUUGUCUUCCGAGUUUUCCACUUCAAAUUUCUAAUCUUCUUUCUUCCUUUCUCAUACUAUUUUUUAAGGACGUCUCCAUUUUCCCCUAAAAUAAGACCUUCCUAUUAAUUAUCAGAUCUACUCUCACGAAUUUAACUCAAAACUACAGCUCAGUAUUUUCGCUAAUUUAUAAUUCCUAGAGAAUAAGAGUAAUCCCUAUCUUAACAGAAAAACUUAUCUGCGGUCUCCUCAAGAAGCGUUUCCUGCCUCUCAGCCGUCUCUGCGCUCGCUGCCUCAAUGCCUGCCUCCCGACCCGCAGCGCGCGGCGUAUUUAUAGCCCAAGGACACCUCACACCCCCGUCAUCCAAUAACCCUCCGCCGCCUUUGUGAGGGAAGCAAAAAUAGUUCCUCGGAAGGAGUUAAAAAUAGAAUCUGGUUUAUAAGACUCUAGGUUUUUCCUUAACAGUUUAUAUAACUUGCUCGCAAACUCUGUACCCAGAUGUUUAAGUAGAUUUGAACUGAAAACUUGAGUAAAAACAAUGGAAACCACGUUUAAACAGACCAUCAAACAGCUGACAAAAACUCAGAAUUACUUGGAAAUGUUUUAGUAGCUUUUAAAAUACCUUCUGUGUUUCCUUCGAGUACAGUAGGUACAAUUUAGUGCUUUGGAGGCUAGGAAAGUAAAACUAAGUUUGCUGAUGGCCUUCAUUUCCAUUAUGUAACAGAGCUUCAGCCUCACAAAUAGAGCGGAGCCAUCUUAGAAGGACCGAAGGGUGGGAGUUUCGCCCCCAUGGGCCGCAGGUCCUGAGGAUUAUAUCACACCGUCUUGAUUGCCAUUUUAUUCGUGAGAUCCGAUCAGCCCAGGUGAUCUAUGUAAGAAUUGGACUAAAUGUGGAAAUCCACUUCUGGAAAAUGUCUGACAGCCACUCUUUACCACUGUUGCCUGCAACAGAGCUGGUCACGCAUCGCAAGGGAUUAGGACCAAAAUUGAGGCAUCCAGCACCCCGUGUUUCCCACCUGGGUGGAAAAGCGGAGGGAAGCGCCAGGGCGGAACUGGCUGCUGUGUCUCAAGGACUCUAGGAGAAGCCUCGGUCCCCGGGGCGGCAAAGGGGACCCGAGUGAGGCUUGAGGACUUAGAAAUGACAAUGGCGCCAGGGAGCGUCCCAGAUACCGGCUUCCAAGCGGCUAAAGCGGCUGAGGCGCGAAGAAGAAGCAGGUAAGAGGCCGAGCGGGGUGGGCGCGAGCCCCCGGGGCCGAGGGGGUGGGGGACGGGUUUCCCGGCCCAGCGCUGCCCGCGGCCGCAGAAAAGGGAGAAGCGGUGGGGGAGGGGUGCUACCCGAGCGCCGCGCCCCUUCCCCCCGCCCCCCCCAAGCCUGCCUCGCGCAGGGAUAUGCUGGCCGUGAGCCGCCGCCUCCCUUUGUGAGGCGUAGGCUCGCGGGCGGGCGCCGCCGGUUCUAACCGGUUCCAGCCGGUCCCG